UUGGACGGCCAUAGGGGCUUGGUUACACCUGAUCCCAUUUCGAACUCAGAAGUUAAGCAAGCUUCCGUUUCUGUUGGUACUGCAUUCAGCGGGAAAGCAGGAAAGCUGUCCGCC
rnacentral:rRNA from 1 species